AUCCUUAUGGCAGGGAAGAUAUCCUGAUCAUGAAGGUGGUUCUCCCAGGGCCAGGCUUUCCAUCGUACUUCAGAUGUACUGAUCCCUCUGAAUUCCCCACAUGUGGGACACUCGACUGUGGAAUUUACGCUAGUUGGGGACGUCCUUAAGACAUCCGCGG